AGUGAACGCUGGCGGUAGGCCUAACACAUGCAAGUCGAACGGCAGCACAGUAAGAGCUUGCUCUUACGGGUGGCGAGUGGCGGACGGGUGAGGAAUACAUCGGAAUCUACUUUUUCGUGGGGGAUAACGUAGGGAAACUUACGCUAAUACCGCAUACGACCUACGGGUGAAAGCAGGGGAUCUUCGGACCUUGCGCGAUUGAAUGAGCCGAUGUCGGAUUAGCUAGUUGGCGGGGUAAAGGCCCACCAAGGCGACGAUCCGUAGCUGGUCUGAGAGGAUGGUCAGCCACACGGGAACUGGGACACGGUCCAGACUCCUACGGGAGGCAGCAGUGGGGAAUAUUGGACAAUGGGCGCAAGCCUGAUCCAGCCAUACCGCGUGGGUGAAGAAGGCCUUCGGGUUGUAAAGCCCUUUUGUUGGGAAAGAAAAGCAGCAGGUUAAUACCCCGCUGUUCUGACGGUACCCAAAGAAUAAGCACCGGCUAACUUCGUG
rnacentral:rRNA from 1 species